UAUCUGUAGGUGAACCUGCAGAUGGAUCAUUU
rnacentral:rRNA from 5 species